UUUGUAUUUCUUUUAUCUUUAGAUCCUCAAGAAGCUUGUCACCGGAGUUUCCAAACCGGUCACAUGUAAAAUCCGAAUCCUGCCAUCGCUGGAGGAGACGGUCAGUCUGGUCCGGAGGAUUGAGAGGACGGGUGUCUCUGCUAUCGCUGUUCACGGCAGGUUAAAGGAGGAGCGUCCCCGCCAUCCCGUCCACUGCGAUUACAUUCAGGCCGUC